GUGUGAGAGUUAUUAAUUAGAUUCAUAGUUGUUAUCAAAGCUCACCGAUAGACUUGACAGACCAGACAAAGGUUAGGACAAUGUCAGGUGUUUGUCUUGUAGAGAGACUGCUAUGUGGGUCGGGACAGACACAGACAAUUAGUAAUGUUAGUUUAGGUGUAGGCUAGAUACUCAGCCUAUAUAGAGUAGAGUUUUGGGGCAGUCGGGACACAGCGCCAUGUAGUGCUAGCAGGGGCGUGUGUCGUGUGCUAGGCGUUCUCUGGUGAACGACACAUACAGACAUUGGGAGCAAGUCGCUGAGGCUGGCUCGCGAUCUUGGCUCCAAGAGGUGUGAGUUGUUUGCCAGAGACAACAUGUAGGAACUAAUUCUUAGGGACCAGGAGUGACAGUCUUAGUGACAUUCUGACAGUCUGGGUAGCAGUCUUUAGCAUGAGGCAGUCUUAGCGUAGAGACACUGAAUAGAUGUUAGCGACAGUGGCGUAGUCAGCAAGACAAAGAGCGACAUGCAGUAAUUGACAUGGACAGCGGUACUGAACUCUGAUGCAGUCUGCGGCGUUGGGUCCAGUGCAUGGAGGAUGGAGUAGCCGUGGUGGUCUGAUUGGCAUGGGUGAUUAAUUGCUGUAUUGUUGAUUAUGUCUUCAUUGUUUAUUAUGUUAACAGAUAUCAUAGUUUUAUUAGUACAUAGUAUUGAAGCCACUUGUCUUAUGUUAUUAAUUUUAUGUUAUUCAUAAUAUAUGUUUGUAGUUAUCAAUUCAUUUCAUCAAUCUAUCAUUACAUGUAUUACUUGAUUUUAAAGUGGCCAUCGAUGCCCUAUUUAGAACAUUAAAUAUUAGUUUUAAUUAGA